GCGGGCGUAGUUCAGCUUGGCAGAACGUCCCCCUGUCACGGGGAAGGUCGCCGGUUCAAAUCCGGUCGCCCGCG
rnacentral:tRNA from 1 species